UUGAACGCUGGCGGAAUGCUUUACACAUGCAAGUCGAACGGCAGCACGGGGGCAACCCUGGUGGCGAGUGGCGAACGGGUGAGUAAUGUAUCGGAACGUACCCAGUCGUGGGGGAUAACUAUCCGAAAGGAUAGCUAAUACCGCAUACGUCCUGAGGGAGAAAGCGGGGGAUCGCAAGACCUCGCGCGAUUGGAGCGGCCGAUAUCGGAUUAGCUAGUUGGUGAGGUAAAGGCUCACCAAGGCGACGAUCUGUAGCGGGUCUGAGAGGAUGAUCCGCCACACUGGAACUGAGACACGGUCCAGACUCCUACGGGAGGCAGCAGUGGGGAAUUUUGGACAAUGGGGGCAACCCUGAUCCAGCCAUGCCGCGUGAGUGAAGAAGGCCUUCGGGUUGUAAAGCUCUUUCAGCCGGGAAGAAAUCACAUGGGUUAAUACCCUGUGUGGAUGACGGUACCGGAAUAAGAAGCACCGGCUAACUACGU
rnacentral:rRNA from 1 species